UUGCUCGUCAGUGCUCUGUAGAUUGUUUAAAGCAUGUCUUACGUUUUGUUAGUUACACAGUGUUAAAUUAUUUGUGGCAAAAUUAAUGUUUUUAUAAACCUAUUUUUGCGAUUUAUUAAGUAAAUAACUAAUGAAUCACACCAACGAAAGUAGAUUCUGUGAUUCACGUUUUUGGGAUCUAGAACAGACGUGGAACACUCCAGAUCCUCAAUUCUCUCCAUGCUUCGAGCAGACUGUCUUGGUCUGGGCCCCAUGCCUGUUUUUAUGGGUUCUUGCUCCCUUCGAGGCCAUCGUCAUCGUAAAGAGCAAGUGUCGAGAUUUACCAUGGGGAUUCACAAACACUACCAAACUGUUGCUGAACCUGGUGCUGAUAGCUAUUAGUGCAGUUACCUUCAUCAUGUCAGUAGUCCAAUACAUGGAAGGAAAGAAGUUGUAUCCUGGUGAGCUGUGGACUCAUGCGGUUAAAACAAUUACCUUUGUGUUGGCUGCAGUUAUCUUGGUCUGGGACAGAGUGCGGGGAGUUCACACCUCGGGAGGACUGUUUGUGUUCUGGCUGGUGCUCAGUGUGGCUGGGGUGUUCCAGUUCAGGACAGAACUGCGGCAAGCUGGGAAUACAGAAGAACCUCGCUACAAAUUUAUUCUCUACAUGGUAUACUACCCUAUAGUUCUUCUGAUGUUGAUUCUGAAUGUAUUUGCUGACCCACCACCUAGAGUUACCGACCGGCGAAAGACCGAAAACCCCUACCCAGCGGAUAAUGCCUCAUUUUUAUCUUUGUGCUUCUUCAGCUGGUUUAGUCCUCUCAUAUGGCAGGGUUACAAAAAACCUCUAACUCUGGAAAACCUGUGGAACUUGAGAUACCAUGAUACUUCCGCUUACGUUGUCGCAAAAUUUGAGAAACAGUGGAAUAAACUUCAGAAACAAAGUAUUAAGUUUUCUACUAGAGAGAGACAGAAUCAAUUGAAUGGAAUACUGAAGAAUCGAAGCAACAAACCAAAGAAGCCAGUUUCAGUCAUUGGAACCAUGUUCAGAACAUAUUGGAUACCCAUGGUUAGCGGAGCAUUGCUGAAGAUUGUAUCAGACGCCUUAGCGCUUCUGAGUCCUUAUCUUUUGUAUUUAAUGAUAAAGUUUGUGGAGAGCAAGGAUUACAUGUGGAAAGGUAUCCUGUACGCAAUCUGCAUAUUCGUAGCUUCCGAAAUGCAAACGUUAUGCCUACAUCACAGCGGUGACAUAAUGUACAACUUUGGUGUGAACUGGAGGACAACUAUCAUGUCUGCCAUUUAUAAAAAGGCUCUUCGUAUCUCCAGCUUUGCCAGGAAGACCAGAUCCUUCGGUGAGAUAGUGAACGUGAUGGCGGUGGAUGCCCAACGGUUGGUCGACACUAGUGCAUUCUUGCACCUCACUUGGAUCAAUUCCUUGUCAAUCAUAGCCUGCCUGUGCUUCCUGUGGAACAUACUAGGAGUGGCUACAUUAGCGGGCGUGGCUGUCUUGGUCAUUCUGAUCCCAAUAAACAUUGUGAUCACCAGCAGGGUGCGGACACUGCACUUGAGACAAAUGAAACACAAAGACGAGAGGGUCAAAUCUGUCAGCGAAGUUCUCAGUGGCAUUAAGGUUUUAAAGAUGUACGCCUGGGAGCAAAGCUUCAGAAAAUCAAUCCUAAACAUUAGAGAUAAAGAGUUAUCACUAUUGAGGACAGCAGCUUUGUUGAACGCAUCCACUUCAUUCUUAUCACUUUGUUCUUCGUUCCUGGUUUCUUUGGCAUCAUUUUGUGUUUUUGUCUUGAUUGAUGAACGUAAUGUGUUGACACCAGAGACUGCCUUUGUCUCCAUGGCUGUCUUCAACAUCAUGAAAAUUCCUCUCUAUUACUUGCCAACAAUGGUGGAGUUUAAUAUUCAGUUUUUUGUGGCUACCAAGAGAAUAAACAAUUUUUUGAAUGCUGAUGAGUUGGAUUUUACAUCAGUUUCUCACGACACAAGCAGAAAGGAAUCACUUAUCAUAGAAGAUGGGACAUUCUCGUGGGGCUGUGACAAGGAUGACAAGCCUAUUCUCCGCAGCAUCACAUUGAAGAUACAGCCUGGACAGUUGGUAGCAGUGGUGGGACCAGUUGGUGCCGGCAAAUCCUCGCUCUUGUCUGCCUUCCUGGGAGAAAUGGUCAAGAACUCUGGAUUUGUUAACACGAAGGGAAAUAUAGCUUACGUUCCACAACAGGCUUGGAUACAAAAUGCAUCUGUGAGAGAGAACAUUUCUUUUGGUAAAAGUUUUGACGAGAUAAAAUACAAUAAGACAGUGAAGAAUUGUGCUUUGACACCAGACUUGGAGAUAUUGCCUGGAGGAGAUGCUACUGAGAUAGGAGAAAAGGGUAUCAACCUGAGUGGAGGACAGAAGCAGAGAGUGAGUCUGGCACGAGCAGUGUACAGUGACGCAGAUAUCUAUCUGAUGGAUGAUCCACUCAGUGCGGUUGACUCUCAUGUUGGCAAACACAUAUUCGAUAAUGUCGUUGGCCCUAGGGGACAGCUGCACAAGAAGACUCGCAUCCUGGUGACUCAUGGAAUAGCGUUCCUGCCCCAAGUAGAUAUGAUUGUGGUGAUGAAAGGAGGAGAGAUCUUGGAGAGAGGCACCUUCAAGGAGCUGUUGAACAAGAAAGGAGAGUUCUCGGAAUUUCUGAUACAACACUUGGUGGAAACUAAUCAACCUGAGCUGAUUCCAGAAAUUGAUGAACUUGUUGAUAAAGAGGUAACUCAUUCAGUUGAAAGACGAAUUAGUAAGAGUGAUUCCGUGAAGACCAGUCCCUCUGUUAGCAAGGUUAAUGCCUCACGCAAACUCUCAAUCACAGAAAAGACCGAAGAAGAAACUCAAUCAGAUAUGAAUUCCACUGUGGGAACCAAAGCCCAAACUGCAUGUGGAGAUCCCACUCUACAUGAGCUGGAAGAGGUAGAGAAGAUGAUGUCAUAUCAGAUCAAGGAGACAGAAAUUGUUGAGAACGGACAGACAACAGGCUUAAUAUGCACAGAAAUUGACCAAAACAGCAAAGAUUCCGAAAUGGACACUUUGCUGAGGAAACCCCAAGAAUCAGAGAGAAACGUUGAGAGGACAUAUUCAUUAUCAGCAAUAGACAGAAAGUCUGAUUCUCAGCAUGAAGAGAAACAAACCAAACUGAUCCAAGCAGAGGUGGCUCAAACUGGUAGAGUGAAGAGAGGAGUAUACCUGCACUACUGCAAGUGUAUGGGAGUAUGGCUAGUGGUGGGGACAUUCAGUCUCUCCCUACUCUCCCAGGCCGGUGCUAUCCUCGCCAACAUCUGGCUGUCGCGCUGGACCUCGGACCAGUCAGCCACUGUCAACGGUACUCAGGUUCUGGACAAACGCAACUUCUACCUGCAGAUGUACUUUACCUUCGGUCUUGCACAAGUUGUCGCAGUAGUAGCGAGUACAUCAUUGUUGGCAAUUGCUACCGUCCUGGGUGCUCAGCACCUUCAUGAGUCGAUGCUGUCAAACAUCCUGCAUUGUCCCAUGAGCUUCUUUGACACAACGCCGAUAGGAAGGAUUGUCAACCGUCUCAGCAAAGACAUUGAUGUUGUCGAUAACAUGCUUCCCAAGAACUUGAGAAUGGCUCAAGAUGCUCUUGUGACAGUUUUAGGAACACUUGUGGUUAUCUUUUGGUCAACUCCACUGUUUGCCUUAGUGUUUGUUCCUAUUGGAUUUCUCUAUUAUUUUGUACAGAAGAUUUAUGUGACUACAUCUCGUCAAAUAAAGAGGAUCGAGUCAGUGACAAGGUCUCCCAUCUACUCUCACUUCAGCGAGACUUUGUCAGGAGUUACAUCAAUACGUGCUUACAAGGUGGAACAGCGUUUCAUAAAAGAACUACAAGAUAAGGUGGACACCAAUCAAGUCUGCUUCAUUCCCUCCUUCAGGUCCAGCAGCUUUUUUUGCUGUAUUAGGCAGAGAUUCUCUGGACCCAGGAAUCGUGGGACUUUCUGUUAGUUAUGCUUUACAGAUAACUUUUGUUAUGAAUGCUGCUGUGAAAAUGUCUUCAGAAAUAGAGACAAGCAUUGUUUCUGUGGAGAGGAUAAAGGAGUAUACUGAACUUCCUCAGGAAGCCGCAUUGGUACUGGAGCCCCGUCCUAAACCAAAAUGGCC
rnacentral:misc_RNA from 1 species